GAAGCCUUCUUGGUCAGCAGUGUUGUUAUCACGACCCUUAGACACUGAUGUUGCAAGUAUACUCUGAAAGUGAUAAUGUGCCAUCAAAGGCAGAAUUUGGUCUGCAGCUCCUUUAUCAGUGAUGAUGAAGGGGAAGGAAAAAACUCAGCUUGAUGUCCAUAUUCCAAGGAGAGUUUGCAGGAAUCGAUAAACCUGCCACAGAGGUCAUGCCUGCAGCAUGCAUGGGACUUCAGAGCCACUCUCCCCCAGCUGCCUGCUUCCCUCAUCAGCAUAGAUUACACUGGCGAAGGCUUAGGAUGGGCAAGAAUCAGACUUGGAAAAGUGAAAGAUUUAAGAUCCACUAACCAGCAAACAGUGCUGCUAAAAAUGGAACUUCAUUCCUCUGGGAAGGUCCCUGAAAGAACUUAAGUUAGCAGACCUUAAAAUCAUAACAUUAUGUAAAGAAUAGAGGUUUCUAAAAGAAUUAUUAGAUAUUUUUUCUCUCCCUCUGAACGCUGAAUAAUUGGUCUCAUGGUGACUGAGGCACCCGAGUUUGAAGAUGGAAGGAUACAACAAACUAAUACUUCAAAUAUUUUUCUGCUAAAUGUGUUUUACAGACAGAACACAUGAUGAGGGGUUUAAUUGGCCCUCGCUGCAUAGACUACCUGUGGCGUCUCUGUCCUUGAGCUGUUUGCGGGAUCCCAAACUCAUUAUGAUAACUUUUCUGCUGAACCAUCUUGUGUACAUUUUCUCACUCACUUGUGCGCACGGGCACACGCUCUCUCUCUCUCUCUCUCUCUCAUUUAUGUGUGUCAUAUAGCUUGCAGGUAAAAGUGUUUAUUGCUGAUGUUUACCUUUGUGCACCAAUUAUGUCUCGCUUUCCUUCAUGUGUAAAGUUAUUGGUUUUCUAUCCGUUCAACUUGUCGGUUGUUGGCAAAAAGGGUCACUGAGAGAGCAUCAGAAAGUAUCAUUACCACACACACCCUUCUCAAAAUGAAAAGGGGCCAGGUGAAGACUUGUGUUCACACUAAAGUACAAUAGUUUGCAGUAACUUAAAGAGCAGCACUUUCCCUAUUGCUCUUUUAUAGAAUUGUAUCACAGCAAUUUAUUAUACAUAGGUACCAAAAGAAGCUCAUGCUGAAGAACGUGUGGGGCCCCUAGUGGUUGCCGAAUGCAAACACAAAAUUUUCUGCUGAAGUUUGCAUUGAGGAGCUCAGCUUCAAACGUUUGUGUGUUGUAAUAUUUGAAACCACAUCAAAGAUUAUCUCCAAAUUCUGCCCUUUUUAAUUUUUCUCUAAGUUGUAUUAUUCAGCUGUACA